rnacentral:lncRNA from 1 species
UUAGCUUCGUAUUCUGCAACGGUCAUAUUCCUUUGCUUUAGAUGAAUAAACUCCUGCUCUUUUUGCAUCCUUACACUCCGAGGAAAAUACUUAUCAUAAAAUGCUCCUCGAAAUCUUUUCCAAGUGAGUGGCUCCCUGUCUUGCUCAUAUUUAUGUUUCAACAUCCGCCACCAGUUGAAUGCCUCACCUUACAUCAUGUAUGAUACCUAAAGAAUAUUUUUGUCGUCCCGGUGUCUCUGAACGGCGAACGCUUUCUCCAUCUCUGUAAGCCAAUUGUUAGCUUCCAAAGGCUCCAUAGUCCCCUUGAAGGCUGGAGGAGCCAGCUUCUUGAACUCAACUAUAUUACUACGCUGCUCGUACUGCUCUCCUCGUCUUGCAUGGUGCAACGACGUUUGUUGUUGUCGAACCUGUUGCUGUUGUAUCUGUUGUUGCAUCUGGAUCAUACCAACUAAAGUCUGCAUAACCUGGCCUAAGCCUGGUUCUUGUUGUCUUCUCUGAGUAUUACUAGCAGGAUUGACAACUCUCUCCUGUUGAGGGAUGUUACUGUCCGAAUCAAGCGCUACCAUUACACCAAAACCCGUAGGUGUUAGUGAAGACGCAACUUUAUUUUCUUAAAGUAGCGCUGGGGCCCAUAGCGGCACGAGUCGACUUCGACCAAGCCUCGCCCGACUCCGGACUCCGACAGGGCCUCGCCAGUGGGUUCAGGGACCCCCUAGUGGUAUAACCCAUCCUACUCCUCCAGCGCAUCCACGUUGGCAGGCGGCAGGACUG